CUGCAACUAGACCUGUACGAGCCGCCCAUCUCGCAGUGCGUCACGUGACGUGGUCGCCUUCCACGCGGGCGACUUCAACAAGCUCAUGCAACUGCUGCAACUAGACCUGUACGAGCCGCCCAUCUCGCAGUGCGUCACGUGACGUGGUCGCCUUCCACGCGGGCGACUUCAACAAGCUCGUGCAACUGCUGCAACUAGACCUGUACGAGCCGCCCAUCUCGCAGUGCGUCACGUGACGUGGUCGCCUUCCACGCGGGCGACUUCAACAAGCUCAUGCAACUGCUGCAACUAGACCUGUACGAGCCGCCCAUCUCGCAGUGCGUCACGUGACGUGGUCGCCUUCCACGCGGGCGACUUCAACAAGCUCGUGCAACUGCUGCAACUAGACCUGUACGAGCCGCCCAUCUCGCAGUGCGUCACGUGGUGAGU